rnacentral:misc_RNA from 1 species
UUAUGCAAGGUAUGUUCACACUGACUGAACUUUUGAAAUUAGUUUAAUAAAGAUGUUAGUAGGACUAACCUGCUUUAAUUCCAUGCCCAGAUGACUCUUUGCAUGGAUAAAACCCCAAAGAUUCAAUUAUUUUUUCGGAAAUACAGUUGAAAUUUUAGAAAUUACGGUAAUUAAGUGGCCAUUAACUGUUACAGAGCCAAAAGGAAGGAGAUCUUUUGAUGGAGUUGAUCGGAACCAAUGACUAAUACUGAAAUUUAGCUUAAUUAGGAAUUGAUUAAUUUGAGUUGAACCAAAGCCAAAUCUCUGAAAAUUUUGAUUAGUCAACUUCUGUGGCUCUAGCGUCUCAGCUUUGCCCUUGUUUUGGACUUGUGAACUUGAAAAGAUUUUCUUGACCUCCUCCUUGAGUUGUGUAUUUUUUGUAGCAGUUGUCAUUAGUCACUCAUUCCUAAUCCUUUUGUUCAACUGACAGAGGUGCAAGGGCAGCUGUUUGG